UCUAACCAUAAACGAUGCCAGCUAGCGAUCUGCGGGCGUUUUUAUUGUAGGCCCCGCAGGAAGCUUCCGGGAAACCAAAGCUUUUGGGUUCCUGGGAAAGUAUGAUUGCAAAAUUGAAAUUUAAAGAAAUUGACGGAACGGCACCACCAGGCGUGGAACUUGCGGCUUAAUUUGACUCAACACUGGAAAUCUCACCAGGCCCGGACACCGGAAGGAUUGACAGAUUGAGAGCUCUUUCUCGAUUCGGUGGGUGGUGGUGCAUGGCCGUUCUUAGUUGGUGGAGUGAUUUGUCUGGUUAAUUCCGAUAACGAACGAGACUCCGUCCUGCUAACUAGUCGCGACGUCACUCUUGCGUUGCGAAUUCUUCUUAGAGGGACUGGCAGCGUUUAGCUGCACGAGAUGGAGCAAUAACAGGUCUGUGAUGCCCUUAGAUGUUCUGGGCUGCACGCGUGUUACACUGAAGGGAUCAGCGUGUCCUCCCUGGCCGAGAGGUCCGGGUAACCCGCUGAACCCCCUUCGUGGUAGGGAUCGGAGCUUGCAAUUAUUCUCCGUGAACCAGGAAUGCCCAGUAAGCGCAAGUCAUAAGCUUGCGUUGAUUACGUCCCUGCCGUUUGUACACACCGCCCGUCGCUACUACCGAUUGAACGUUUUAGUGAGGUAUUUGGACUGGACCUCAGUUGGUUCGCGCCGACUGUGCGUUCGGGAAGACUCCCAAACUUGAGCGUUUAGAGGAAGUAAAAGUCGUAACAAGGUUACCGUAGGUG
rnacentral:rRNA from 1 species